rnacentral:rRNA from 2 species
CGCGUGGGAACGUGCCCUUCACUACGGAAUAGUCCCGGGAAACUGGGUUUAAUGCCGUAUACGCCCUUCGGGGGAAAGAAUUUCGGUGAGGGAUCGGCCCGCGUUAGAUUAGAUAGUUGGUGGGGUAAUGGCCUACCAAGUCUACGAUCUAUAGCUGGUUUUAGAGGAUGAUCAGCAACACUGGGACUGAGACACGGCCCAGACUCCUACGGGAGGCAGCAGUGGGGAAUCUUGGACAAUGGGCGCAAGCCUGAUCCAGCCAUGCCGCGUGAGUGAUGGAGGCCUUAGGGUCGUAAAGCUCUUUCGCCUGUGAAGAUAAUGACUGUAGCAGGUAAAGAAACCCCGGCUAACUCUGUG